UGGGGAAUAUUGCACAAUGGGCGAAAGCCUGAUGCAGCAACGCCGCGUGAGUGAUGAAGGCCUUCGGGUUGUAAAGCUCUGUCUUUUGGGACGAUAAUGACGGUACCAAAGGAGGAAGCCACGGCUAACUACGUGCCAGCAGCCGCGGUAAUACGUAGGUGGCAAGCGUUGUCCGGAUUUACUGGGCGUAAAGGAUGCGUAGGCGGAUUUUUAAGUGAGAUGUGAAAACCCUAAGCUUAACUUGGGGACUGCAUUUCAUACUGGAAAUCUGGAGUGCGGGAGAGGAGAAUGGAAUUCCUAGUGUAGCGGUGAAAUGCGUAGAGAUUAGGAAGAACACCAGUGGCGAAGGCGAUUCUCUGGACCGUAACUGACGCUGAGGCAUGAAAGCGUGGGUAGCAAAACAGGAUUAGAUACCCUGGUAGUCCACGCCGUAAACGAUGAGUACUAGGUGUAGGAGGUAUCGACCCCUUCUGUGCCGCAGUUAACACAAUAAGUACUCCGCCUGGGAAGUACGAUCGCAAGAUUAAAAACUC
rnacentral:rRNA from 1 species